rnacentral:rRNA from 1 species
GAGGAAUAUUGGGCAAUGCCCGCAAGGGUGACCCAGCAACGCCGCGUGGAGGAUGAAUGCCGUAAGGUUGUAAACUCCUGUUAGAGGGGACGAAUGAUUCCGAUUGUAUCGGAAGUUGACUGUACCCUCAGAGAAAGCCCCGGCUAACUACGUGCCAGCAGCCGCGGUAAUACGUAGGGGGCAAGCGUUGUCCGGAUUUACUGGGUGUAAAGGGCGCGCAGGUGGGCUUGAUAGUUAGAGGUGAAAUCCUGUGGCUUAACUGCAGAACUGCCUUUAAUACUUCAAGUCUUGAGUGCGGAAGAGAGAGACGGAAUUCCAGGUGUAGUAGUGAAAUACGUAGAUAUCUGGAAGAACACCAGUUGCGAAGGCGGUCUCUUGGUCCGUAACUGACACUUAGGCGCGAAAGCGUGGGGAGCAAAC